rnacentral:misc_RNA from 1 species
GAUGAAGAACGUAGCGAAAUGCGAUAAGUAGUGUGAAUUGCAGAAUUCAGUGAAUCAUCGAAUCUUUGAACGCACAUUGCGCCCCUUUGUAUUCCAUGGGGCAUGCCUGUUCGAGCGUCAUUUGUACCUUCAAGCUUUGCUUGGUGUUGGGUGUUUGUCUCGCCUUUGCGUGUAGACUCGCCUUAAAAUAAUUGGCAGCCGGCGUAUUGAUUUCGGAGCGCAGUACAUCUCGCGCUUUGCACUCAUAACGACAGCGUCCAAAAGUACAUUUUACACUCUUGACCUCGGAUCAGGUAGGGAUACCCGCUGAACUUAAGCAUAUCAAUAAGCGGAGGA